UCCUGAACUUCCUUCCUACUUCUUUCUAAUGCUUCCUCAUCAGUUACCCAACCUGUUGAAGGGGGCAUUAUUGUUGGAGGUGACCCAUACUUUUCAGAGCGAGGCACUCUCUUCUUCCUUUUGGGUGUCCCGUACAGUACGUAGAAAUCAAAAGGACGCCCAGAUGGUUCUCCCAACAAGUCUACUUCGCGAACUCCCUCUUGAUGUAGUUGCUUAAACAGAGUAUUGCGCGAUACUCCUCUCUUUUUUCUUUCUGCUUCUAAGUCAAUUUCUUCUUCAAUGUCUGUCAUCCCAUCGUCUUCCUCAUCGUUGUAGGCCUCUCCA
rnacentral:lncRNA from 1 species